AGUGAACGCUGGCGGCGUGCCUAAUACAUGCAAGUCGAACGGAGUGGCGCACGGGUGAGUAAUGUAUAGCUAAUCUGCCCUACACUAGAGGCCAACAGUUGGAAACGGCUGCUAAUACUAUAUAGUGUAGGAUGAGGCUAUAUUGUAUCAGCUAGUUGGUGAGGUAAUGGCUCAACAAGGCUAUGACGAAUAACCGGUCUGAGAGGAUGAUAAGUCACACUGGAACGGAGACACGGUCCAGACACCUACGGGAAGGAGCAGUAGGGAAUAUGGCUAAAUGGGGGGAACCCUGAAGCAGCAUCGCAGCGUGGAAGAUGAAACUGUUCGGAGAGUAAACUCCUUGUGUUAUGAAAGCGGUAUCUAACGAAUAAGCAGCGGCUAAAUCCGUGCCAGCAGCCGCGGUAAUUC
rnacentral:rRNA from 1 species